rnacentral:sRNA from 1 species
GUCCAACUACCCCUGAGUUAAAGACUCAGGGGUUUGUCUUACAAGCCCUGGUUGACCGAUCACCGAUUCGGAACUUUGGAAAAUCCGUAGGGCCGGUAAGAUCAAUAGUCGAUAAGAUCGAUAAUCGGUAAGAUCGAUAAUCGGUAAGAUCGAUAAUCGGUAAGAUCGAUAAUCGGUAAGAUCGAUAAUCGGUAAGAUCGAUAAUCGGUAAGAUCGAUAAUCGGUAAGAUCGAUAAUCGGUAAGAUCGGAAAUAAUACAUAGUUACCUAAAAUGUUGCCUCAUUUUCAGGCUCUAAGGAUGGCCGGUUAAACAGUCCUGAGAGAUAGGGACGGUGCUUGCAUCGUACAAAACCUUUCCAUAUCUGAUCGAGAGAAAGACGGAUUCCGGGAUUGGC